GGGCUAGCUUUGGCAGCAUAUUCUAAAAACUUGGAAUGAUACAGAGAACAAUAGUGUGGUCCUUAUGUAAAGAUGAUGUGCAAAUUUGUGGUGUCCUAUUUAU
rnacentral:snRNA from 1 species